rnacentral:rRNA from 1 species
UACGUAGGGGGCUAGCGUUGUCCGGAAUCAUUGGGCGUAAAGAGCGUGUAGGCGGCCCGGUAAGUCCGCUGUAAAAGUCAACGGCUCAACCUUUGAAUGUCAGUGGAUACUGCCGGGCUAGAGUCCGGAAGAGGCGAGUGGAACUCCUGGUGUAGCGGUGGAAUGCGCAGAUAUCAGGAAGAACACCAACGGCGAAGGCAGCUCGCUAGGACGGUACUGACGCUGAGACGCGAAAGCGUGGGGAGCGAACAGG